UUACGGGAGGCAGCAGUGAGGAAUAUUGCACAAUGGGCGAAAGCCUGAUGCAGCAACGCCGCGUGAGGGACGAAGGCCUUCGGGUCGUAAACCUCUUUUCUGAGAGACGAGACAAGGACGGUAUCUCAGGAAUAAGUCUCGGCUAACUACGUGCCAGCAGCCGCGGUAAAACGUAGGAGGCGAGCGUUAUCCGGAUUUACUGGGCGUAAAGCGCGCGCAGGCGGCUGGGUAAGUUGGCUGUGAAAGCUCCUGGCUUAACUGGGAGAGGUCGGUCAAGACUGCCUGGCUUGAGGUAGGGAGAGGGGUGUGGAAUUCCCGGUGUAGUGGUGGAAUGCGUAGAUAUCGGGAGGAACACCAGUGGCGAAGGCGGCACCCUGGCCCUCACCUGACGCUGAGGUGCGAAAGCGUGGGUAGCAAACAGGAUUAGAAACCCGAGUAGUCCA
rnacentral:rRNA from 1 species